ensembl:lncRNA
CCAAACACGGAGACAAGAGAAAAACAAACGUGAAGAUAAGACACAGGAGAAGACACUAAGGGAAAAAACUCACAAGUCACAAAGAACUAAAGGCUAACAGAAACAUAUACAUGACAUAAAAAUAACCACGAGGAAGAAUCACAUUGAAUAUCUGAAAAUAAACAGCAUAAUGUCCAGAAGCUUGGAAACACGGGGUCAUACACCCAGUACCAUGACACCUAUAUGUACAAAUGCACUGAGAAAUGCAUCUUAAAUUGAUACAUAAAAAUAUAUUUUAGGGGGAAAAAGCAAAGAAAUUAGUUAAAAUGUAAAAGUUAUAAAAAAUUACAUAAUAAUAAUUUUUGAGUUUUGUUAUUAUUUUUGAAAAUUAAAGCACAGAGCUUUCAUCCCUUUAGCUGGAGGUAAAAAAUAUUUUGAGUGAGUAGUGAUGGUAACGCAAAUUUUAAAAAAUUAAAUCCUCUUUAAAGCCUAAAAUUAAAUGAGCCUAUAAACCAGAACUUUACAAGAAUACUUUGACAUUCAUAGCAGGAUCCUAACUUUCAAAACACCUACCUAUCACGUUACUUUCUUCUAAAGAGGUCUCUGUUUUAGGACAGGCGUGGCUGGAAACCUGUGGUUAAAGAAAGAAAAAAAAAGAUGGCAGCGAAAGAGGAGACCGACCAACAUGUGUUACCCUUAAAAAAAAAAUCUUACUUUUAACCUCAGCUUCACCAUUCUUUCCAAGCAAUCAUAUCAUCAUCAUUCCCGUGUCAGCACCAUGUGGUUAGAAAUAAUAGAAACAGGCAGUCCACCUGAAUUCACAGCGAAAGCAAAACAAUCAAAAUCUACACUUAAAAACUUUGGAAACACUUAUUCUUAGAACAUGAUGGACACAGACAAAGUCGAGUAUUUUCACUCUGCCCCUCAUAUUAUGUUAAUGUUUGUUUAAUGCACUCCACUUUAAUUUUCUGCCCUGGCUUAGAACAAAAAAAGAAGGAAUUCCUCCUGCUCCCUUAUUUCCCCAAAGGUGGAGGUCUUAUUAAUGUUGCAUGGCUGUCUGGCUCAGCUGAGUGUGUUUACUCAGUGGUAGCAGGAAUGUGCUAAGUGUGACUUGAAAGGAGUUGUUACAAUUUCAUUUUUAACUCAUAAAGCAAACAGAGCGCCCCUGAGAUUUUUAUCAAUGGCUCCAUUCAUUUCAAAACCCGCCCACCAAUCAGCAAACUAUCCGCUCGGUAACGUCACGCCCAUUGGGGGGGAAAAAGGAUCUGGGCUGUUACCUGCACGCUGAUUGGUUAG